AUUGAACGCUGGCGGCAUGCUUUACACAUGCAAGUCGAACGGUAACAGGCCUUCGGGUGCUGACGAGUGGCGAACGGGUGAGUAAUGCAUCGGAACGUACCCAGAGGUGGGGGAUAACGCAGCGAAAGCUGUGCUAAUACCGCAUGUGAUCUGAGGAUGAAAGCGGGGGACCGAGCAGCAAUGUUUGGCCUCGCGCCUUUGGAGCGGCCGAUGUCGGAUUAGCUAGUUGGUGGGGUAAAGGCCUACCAAGGCGACGAUCCGUAGCUGGUCUGAGAGGACGGCCAGCCACACUGGGACUGAGACACGGCCCAGGCUCCUACGGGAGGCAGCAGUGGGGAAUUUUGGACAAUGGGCGCAAGCCUGAUCCAGCAAUGCCGCGUGCGGGAAGAAGGCCUUCGGGUUGUAAACCGCUUUUGGCAGGAACGAAACGGUGUCCGCUAAUACCGGGCGCUAAUGACGGUACCUGCAGAAUAAGCACCGGCUAACUACGUG
rnacentral:rRNA from 1 species